rnacentral:rRNA from 1 species
CCCUUAGAUGUUCGGGGCCGCACGCGCGCUACACUGAAGGAAUCAGCACGUCUUUCUCCUUGUCCGAAAGGACUGGGUAACCCGCUGAACCUCCUUCGUGCUAGGGAUUGGGGCUUGUAAUUCUUCCCCAUGAACGAGGAAUUCCCAGUAAGCGCGAGUCAUAAGCUCGCGUUGAUUACGUCCCCGCCCUUUGUACACACCGCCCGUCGCUACUACCGAUUGGAUGGUUUAGUGAGAUCCUCGGAUUGGUCCCGGCGCGGCCUCUGGUCGUGCCGGAGUGCCGAAAAGAAUGUCGAACUUGAUCAUCUAGAGGAAGUAAAAGUCGUAACA